AUUGAACGCUGGCGGCAGGCCUAACACAUGCAAGUCGAACGAGUGGCGGACGGGUGAGUAAUGUCUGGGAAACUGCCCGAUGGAGGGGGAUAACUACUGGAAACGGUAGCUAAUACCGCAUACCAUCGGAUGUGCCCAGAUGGGAUUAGCUAGUAGGUGGGGUAACGGCUCACCUAGGCGACGAUCCCUAGCUGGUCUGAGAGGAUGACAAUCCACACGGGAACUGAGGCCCGUUCCAUACUCCUACGGGAGGCAGCAGUGGUGAAUAUUGCACAAUGGUCGCAAGCCUGAGGCAGCCAUGCCGCGUGUAUGAAGAAGGCCUUCGGGUUGUAAAGUACUUUCAGCGAGGAGGCGUUACUCGCAGAAGAAGCACCGGCUAACUCCGUGCCAGCAGCGGCGGUAAUAC
rnacentral:rRNA from 1 species